rnacentral:rRNA from 1 species
AUUGAACGCUGGCGGCAGGCUUAACACAUGCAAGUCGAGCGGGAAUAGGUAGCUUGCUACUGAAUUCUAGCGGCGGACGGGUGAGUAAAGCUUAGGAAUCUGCCAUUUAGUGGGGGACAACAUUCCGAAAGGGAUGCUAAUACCGCAUACGUCCUACAGGAGAAAGCAGGGGAUCACUUGUGACCUUGCGCUAAAUGAUGAGCCUAAGUCGGAUUAGCUAGUUGGUGGGGUAAAGGCCUACCAAGGCGACGAUCUGUAGCGGGUCUGAGAGGAUGAUCCGCCACACUGGGACUGAGACACGGCCCAGACUCCUACGGGAGGCAGCAGUGGGGAAUAUUGGACAAUGGGGGGAACCCUGAUCCAGCCAUGCCGCGUGUGUGAAGAAGGCCUUUUGGUUGUAAAGCACUUUAAGCGAGGAGGAGGCUCCUGUAGAUAAUACCUACAGAGAGUGGACGUUACUCGCAGAAUAAGCACCGGCUAACUCUGUGCCAGCCGCCGCCGUAA